UGGUCAAGCGGUUAAGACACCGCCCUUUCACGGCGGUAACACGGGUUCGAAUCCCGUACGGGUCA
rnacentral:tRNA from 1 species